rnacentral:rRNA from 1 species
UACGUAGGGUGCGAGCGUUAAUCGGAAUUACUGGGCGUAAAGCGUGCGCAGGCGGUUUUUUAAGCCAGAUGUGAAAUCCCCGGGCUCAACCUGGGAACUGCAUUUGGAACUGGAAGACUAGAGUGUAGCAGAGGGGGGUAGAAUUCCACGUGUAGCAGUGAAAUGCGUAGAUAUGCGGAGGAACACCGAUGGCGAAGGCAAUCCCUGGGCCUGCACUGACGCUCAUGCACGAAAGCGUGGGGAGCAAACAGGAUUAGAUACCCUAGUAGU